AAAUAGAACCUGAAACCGUGUGCUUACAAGUAGUCAGAGCCCGUUAAUGGGUGAUGGCGUGCCUUUUGUAGAAUGAACCGGCGAGUUACGAUUUGAUGCAAGGUUAAGCAGUAAAUGUGGAGCCGUAGCGAAAGCGAGUCUGAAUAGGGCGUUUAGUAUUUGGUCGUAGACCCGAAACCAGGUGAUCUACCCUUGGUCAGGUUGAAGUUCAGGUAACACUGAAUGGAGGACCGAACCGACUUACGUUGAAAAGUGAGCGGAUGAACUGAGGGUAGCGGAGAAAUUCCAAUCGAACCUGGAGAUAGCUGGUUCUCUCCGAAAUAGCUUUAGGGCUAGCCUCAAGUGAUGAUUAUUGGAGGUAGAGCACUGUUUGGACGAGGGGCCCCUCUCGGGUUACCGAAUUCAGACAAACUCCGAAUGCCAAUUAAUUUAACUUGGGAGUCAGAACAUGGGUGAUAAGGUCCGUGUUCGAAAGGGAAACAGCCCAGACCACCAGCUAAGGUCCCAAAAUAUAUGUUAAGUGGAAAAGGAUGUGGCGUUGCCCAGACAACUAGGAUGUUGGCUUAGAAGCAGCCAUCAUUUAAAGAGUGCGUAAUAGCUCACUAGUCGAGUGACACUGCGCCGAAAAUGUACCGGGGCUAAACAUAUUACCGAAGCUGUGGAUUGUCCUUUGGACAAUGGUAGGAGAGCGUUCUAAGGGCGUUGAAGCAUGAUCGUAAGGACAUGUGGAGCGCUUAGAAGUGAGAAUGCCGGUGUGAGUAGCGAAAGACGGGUGAGAAUCCCGUCCACCGAUUGACUAAGGUUUCCAGAGGAAGGCUCGUCCGCUCUGGGUUAGUCGGGUCCUAAGCUGAGGCCGACAGGCGUAGGCGAUGGAUAACAGGUUGAUAUUCCUGUACCACCUAUA
rnacentral:rRNA from 1 species